AUGAUUAAUUGUUGAUAGAUUUAUUUUUUCUUGUCUCUGUUUCCAGAAAAUCAUUUCGCUAUCCUUUUUCUCUCAACCUGAUGGCCCAGUGAUUAGAAACGGCUCCUUUAAAUCGUCAUUCUUAUUUCCAGGUAUAAAAGAAGGAUUUUAUCUGGUCCACCACCGAAAGAUAAGCUUCCCAAGGUAUAUUCUCCUUUGUUAACCUUUUGGAUAUUGCCAGUGAUAAUAUAUAAUCCUAUUUGUAAUAUUUGUGCAGAAUUCUACACAAGGUUCUGUAUUGUUAGGAGCAAUUUUGUAUGGAAAAUUGUCAUUUUCUGAGGGAGAGAAUAAAAAUCCAGAAAAGCACCCUGCAUCAUAUCAACUAAUAAUACACAAGGUUCUGUAUUGUUAGUGAUUAAAUGUUUUUU